rnacentral:rRNA from 1 species
UGGGGAAUUUUGCACAAUGGGGGAAACCCUGAUGCAGCGACGCCGCGUGAUUUAGAAGGCCUUCGGGUUGUAAAAAUCUUUUCUAUGGGAAGAAAAUGACAGUACCAUAGGAAUAAGGACCGGCUAAUUACGUGCCAGCAGCCGCGGUAAUACGUAAGGUCCGAGCGUUGUCCGGAAUCAUUGGGCGUAAAGGGUACGUAGGCGGGUAAGCAAGUUAGAAGUGAAAUCCUAUAGCUCAACUAUAGUAAGCUUUUAAAACUGCUCAUCUUGAGGUAUGGAAGGGAAAGUGGAAUUCCUAGUGUAGCGGUGAAAUGCGCAGAUAUUAGGAGGAAGACCGGUGGCGAAGGCGACUUUCUGGCCAUAACCUGACGCUGAGGUACGAAAGCGUGGGUAGCAAACAGG